rnacentral:rRNA from 1 species
UCCUACGGGAGGCAGCAGUAGGGAAUCUUCCGCAAUGGACGAAAGUCUGACGGAGCAACGCCGCGUGAGUGAUGAAGGCUUUCGGGUCGUAAAACUCUGUUGUUAGGGAAGAACAAGUGCUAGUUGAAUAAGCUGGCACCUUGACGGUACCUAACCAGAAAGCCACGGCUAACUACGUGCCAGCAGCCGCGGUAAUACGUAGGUGGCAAGCGUUAUCCGGAAUUAUUGGGCGUAAAGCGCGCGCAGGUGGUUUCUUAAGUCUGAUGUGAAAGCCCACGGCUCAACCGUGGAGGGUCAUUGGAAACUGGGAGACUUGAGUGCAGAAGAGGAAAGUGGAAUUCCAUGUGUAGCGGUGAAAUGCGUAGAGAUAUGGAGGAACACCAGUGGCGAAGGCGACUUUCUGGUCUGUAACUGACACUGAGGCGCGAAAGCGUGGGGAGCAAACAGGAUUAGAUACCCUGGUAGUCCACGCCGUAAACGAUGAGUGCUAAGUGUUAGAGGGCUUCCGCCCUUUAGUGCUGAAGUUAACGCAUUAAGCACUCCGCCUGGGGAGUACGGCCGCAAGGCUGAAACUCAAAGGAAUUGACGGA